GUGAUGUGCGAUAACGCAUGCAUAACCUAAGCCGCAUGCCGAUGGCCCGGGUCAAGACAUUCGAAAAUUUUGAGCCAUCGCACGAUCAAUUGUGAAUUCCAGUAUCAGUUAAAAUGACCUACCGGUACACUGCUUUAUACCCGCUGAAAACGGUUGCUGGCAUAGUUGCUGAAACAUUUUUCAAGCGUAUAUCCGCACGACUUGCCUCAACCGGAUUGAAUCUCUGGGAUAAUGAGCUAAGUCCAGAGAUCAAACACAAAAUAGAAAACCACUGGAAAGGCAGACUAGGUGCAUCUGAAUUCGAUGAAAAUGACAGUACAAAAGAAAAAUUCUAUGUUCUGUCUAUGUUUCCUUAUCCUUCUGGUCAGCUACAUAUGGGACAUAUUCGAGUCUACUCUAUCAGCGAUUCUGUAGCUCGUUUCUAUAGAAUGAGGGGUAAAAAUGUCCUUCACCCAAUGGGUUGGGACGCCUUUGGACUACCUGCUGAAAAUGCAGCUGUAGAACGGGGCCUAGAUCCGACUGUGUGGACAAAGCAAAACAUAGAUAAGAUGCGGGAGCAAUUUGAAAAAUUGGGAUGCUCGUUUGAUUGGUCUUGUGAAUUAGCUACCUGUAAUCCAGAUUACUAUAGGUGGACUCAGGAAUUGUUUUUACAUCUCUUUCAUGAUGGUUUGAUUUAUCGCAAAGAGGCUCUGGUUAACUGGGAUCCUGUGGAUCAUACUGUGUUGGCGGAUGAACAAGUUGAUGCUCAAGGCCAUUCCUGGAGAUCCGGUGCUAAAGUUGAAAAAAAAUUCUUAGACCAGUGGUUUGUCAGAACAACUGCAUUUGCUAAGUCCUUGUAUGAUGGUUUGAGUGAUCCUAUGUUAAAAGGAUGGAGAGAUGUGAUAAAGUUACAAGAGCAUUGGAUAGGAGAAUGUAAUGGCCUUGCAAUUGACUUUCAGCUGAUCUCAGAAGAUUCACGCUAUCCACGAACCUUACCUCUUUGGACAGAUAAGCCAGAACUCAUUGAAUCUGCUGAAUUUGUGGCUGUUGCACCUUGCAGCUUUUUGGGCAAUAUAGAAGAGUCUGCAGACACAACUGAAACGUUGAGAAGAUUAAAUGUGUGUGUCCUUAAUCCUUUCACAAACAAACACCUACCAGUCUUUGUAACGAAAGAUGUUGAGUUUCCACCUUUCAUGGAUAAUCACAUUGGUAUUCCAUGCUCGUCCGAGGUAGAUGCCGAGCUGUGUAAGACGGUUGGAAUAGAGUUUAGAUCAACAAAUGUGACCACGAGCAAUGACGUUGAUGGUAAGCGUAGGGAGAUUGUGGAAAAAGCAAAGAAAUGGAAUAUUGGCAGAUACCCUGUGAGUUCAAAGUUGAAAGAUUGGUUAAUAUCUCGGCAACGUUAUUGGGGCACACCUAUCCCCAUUGUUCACUGUCAACUUUGUGGAGUGCAACCAGUGCCUAGCAAAGAACUCCCUGUAAUCUUGCCAACACCUGAGGAACUAUCAAAAGAAGGAGCUUCGUCACUAGAUCAAGCUAAGGAUUGGCUAUCGACAAAAUGUCCAAAAUGUGGAGGAAAGGCCACCCGGGAAACCGACACUAUGGACACGUUUGUUGAUAGCUCCUGGUAUUUCAUGAGAUACAUAGACUCAAGAAACAACAAAAAAUUAUUUUCCAAAGAAAAGGCUGAGAAAAUGUUACCCGUUGAUCUACUGAUUGGGGGAAAGGAACAUGCGGUUCUCCAUCUUUAUUAUGCAAGAUUCAUGAACCAUUUCUUACAUUCAAAGGGUCUUCUUCCUACAAGCGAACCCUUUAAACAGUUGCUUGUUCAAGGAAUGGUGAUGGGACAAACAUUUCGGAUAAAAGAUACUGGCGAAUACUUGAAUAAAAACGAGGUUGAGAAGAGAGGACAGAAUCAAUUCAUACACAAGAAGUCGGGAAAAGCUGUCACAUGUCAUUGGGAAAAAAUGUCCAAGUCUAAAUACAACGGCGUUGAUCCUAUGGAUAUGUUUACGGAAUAUGGCACAGACACAACUCGAUUAAUCAUCUUAGCUGAUGUAGCACCAACAUCACACAGAAAUUGGUCAUCCGCUACGUUUCCGGGUAUCAUCAAGUGGCAGCAUCGAUUAUGGCUCACAGUCAAGGAUUUUCUACAAUUACGGAACGAACUAGCGCCUGAACAGUUGCACGCAUCACCUAAAGGAGAAAAAUUUGUAGAACAAGAGUUGAUGUUAUUUGACAGUCGGAAUUAUUAUGUAAGAGGGGUUACCCUCAACAUUACGGAUACGCAACAAUUAAGUGUAGCCAUAUCCAAGAUGCAAGGACUUACCAACAGUAUACGGCGUUCUUCGCCGGGAAAUAUAGCGCAAGGUCGCGAAUAUGAAAGAGCAUUAGCUGCACAAAUCAUCAUGCUUGCUCCACUUGCUCCACAUUUUGCGUCAGAACUAUGGGCUGGAUUCUGUUCUGCACCUCGAUUGCUGCACAGUAAAAUUGUUAGCGAACGAGAGAUACAAUGGGACAAGGAUGUGUUGCAACAGAAUUGGCCAGAAGUUGACAUGGAGUAUAAAAUACCUCUCACCGCAUAUGUAAACGGUCAUAAGUUCUUGGAGUUGAAAGUGGCCCGUUAUGUAUUGGACAAGACAACAGUUGAAGAGGCGAUGCAGAUAGUGAUGGCAGAUGACAAAUUCCAAAAAUAUCUCAAAGUCUGGAGGGUUGUGGAUAUCAAAUUUGACUCAGUGUCAGGCUAUGGUGCGACGAUCCAAUUGAGUACCGAAAAAAUAUCAGAUAAAUUGGAGAUAAACAAUACUCAAACGUGAACGAUCUGAUGGCUAAAUUGGAAUGAGAUUACGUCGUUUGGAACCAACCAUCGAUCAAGAGUAUAUCACCAUCCGAUUAUUGUAUAGUGGCAGAUCGUAGAAUGUCCCGAAUCCAAGUAGUUCACGAGCAACGAUAACUUUUUUGAUUCGGGGGAACGAGACGAUCACCGUUCGCCCGACGACUGAUCUAUCCAAAGCUGCCG
rnacentral:misc_RNA from 1 species